rnacentral:tRNA from 1 species
GGUCUAUUAGUCUAGUUGGUUAGGACGUCGGAUUCUGAUUUCACAGUCAUAUCCUUCCGUAGGCCCAGGUUCGAAUCCUGGAUGGACCU